rnacentral:rRNA from 1 species
GGGUUGUGAGGUUAAGCGACUAAGCGUACACGGUGGAUGCCCUGGCAGUCAGAGGCGAUGAAGGGCGUGCUAAUCUGCGAUAAGCGCCGGUAAGGUGAUAUGAACCGUUAUAACCGGCGAUACCCGAAUGGGGAAACCCAGUGUGAUUCGUCACACUAUCAUUAACUGAAUCCAUAGGUUAAUGAGGCGAACCGGGGGAACUGAAACAUCUAAGUACCCCGAGGAAAAGAAAUCAACCGAGAUUCCCCCAGUAGCGGCGAGCGAACGGGGAGGAGCCCAGAGCCUGAAUCAGCAUGUGUGUUAGUGGAAGCGUCUGGAAAGGCGCGCGAUACAGGGUGACAGCCCCGUACACAAAAGCGUAUGUGCUGUGAGCUCGAUGAGUAGGGCGGGACACGUGGUAUCCUGUCUGAAUAUGGGGGGACCAUCCUCCAAGGCUAAAUACUCCUGACUGACCGAUAGUGAACCAGUACCGUGAGGGAAAGGCGAAAAGAACCCCGGCGAGGGGAGUGAAAAAGAACCUGAAACCGUGUACGUACAAGCAGUGGGAGCACCCUUUGGGGUGUGACUGCGUACCUUUUGUAUAAUGGGUCAGCGACUUAUAUUCUGUAGCAAGGUUAACCGAAUAGGGGAGCCGGAGGGAAACCGAGUCUUAAUUGGGCGUUAAGUUGCAGGGUAUAGACCCGAAACCCGGUGAUCUAGCCAUGGGCAGGUUGAAGGUUGGGUAACACUAACUGGAGGACCGAACCGACUAAUGUUGAAAAAUUAGCGGAUGACCUGUGGCUGGGGGUGAAAGGCCAAUCAAACCGGGAGAUAGCUGGUUCUCCCCGAAAGCUAUUUAGGUAGCGCCUCGUGAAUUCAUCUCCGGGGGUAGAGCACUGUUUCGGC